UCCCUGGUGGUCCAGUGGUGAGGAUUCCGCACUCUCACUGCUGAGUCUAUGGGUUCGAUCUCUGGUUCAGGGAA
rnacentral:tRNA from 1 species